AACGACGCUGGCGGCAGGUCUUAGGCAUGCAAGUCGAACGGGUGUAGUAAUACACCAGUGGCGAACGAGUGAGUAACGCGUGGGAAUCUGCCCAUCUCUGGGGAAUAACGUUUGGAAACGAACGCUAAUACCGCAUACGCCCGCAAGGGGAAAGAUUUUUCGGAGAUGGAUGAGCCCGCGUUGGAUUAGUUAGUUGGUGGGGUAACGGCCUACUAAGGCGAUGAUCCAUAGCUGGUCUGAGAGGACGAUCAGCCACGCUGGAACUGAGAUACGGUCCAGACUCAUACGGGAGGCAGCAGCUAAGAAUAUUGGGCAAUGGAGGAAACUCUGACCCAGCCAUGCCGCGUGAAUGAAGAAGGCCUUCGGGUUGUAAAGUUCUUUUAGUCGUGACGAUGAUGACGGUAGCGACAGAAAAAGCACCGGCUAACUUCGUGCCAGCCGCCGCCGUAA
rnacentral:rRNA from 1 species